GACAGAGGGGGCAAGCGUUGCUCGGAAUUACUGGGCGUAAAGGGCGCGUAGGCGGGAUGGCAAGUCGGUCGUGAAAUCCUUCGGCUCAACCGAAGAACGUCGAUCGAUACUGCUGUUCUUGAGGGUUGCAGAGGAGGCUGGAAUUCCCGGUGUAGCGGUGAAAUGUGUAGAUAUCGGGAGGAACACCAGAGGCGAAGGCGGCGAACUGGACAGCAACUGACACUCAACUGCGAAAGCGUGGGGAGCAAACAGG
rnacentral:rRNA from 1 species